UACGAAGGGGGCUAGCGUUGCUCGGAAUCACUGGGCGUAAAGGGCGCGUAGGCGGCCUUGUAAGUUGGGGGUGAAAGCCCGUGGCUCAACCACGGAAUUGCCUUCGAUACUGCUUGGCUUGAGACCGGAAGAGGUGAGUGGAACUGCGAGUGUAGAGGUGAAAUUCGUAGAUAUUCGCAAGAACACCGGUGGCGAAGGCGGCAUCCUGGACCGGUAUUGACGCUGAGGAGCGAAAGCCAGGGGAGCAAACGGG
rnacentral:rRNA from 1 species